rnacentral:rRNA from 1 species
UACGUAGGGUGCGAGCGUUGUCCGGAAUUAUUGGGCGUAAAGCGCACGUAGGCGGCUUUGUAAGUUAGAGGUGAAAGCCCAGGGCUCAACCCUGGAAUUGCCUUUAAGACUGCAUCGCUAGAAUUGUGGAGAGGUAAGUGGAAUUCCGAGUGUAGAGGUGAAAUUCGUAGAUAUUCGGAAGAACACCAGUGGCGAAGGCGACUUACUGGACACAUAUUGACGCUGAGGUGCGAAAGCGUGGGGAGCAAACAGG